rnacentral:rRNA from 1 species
CCUACGGGGGGCAGCAGUGGGGAAUAUUGGGCAAUGGACGCAAGUCUGACCCAGCAACGCCGCGUGAGGGAAGAAGGCUUUCGGGUUGUAAAAUUCUUUUAAGGGGGAAGAGCAGAAGACGGUACCCCUUUACUAAGCCACAGCUAACUACGUGACAGCAGCCGCGGUAAUAAGUAGGUGGCAAGCGUUGUCCGGAUUUACUGGGUGUAACGGGCGUGCAGCCGUAGAGACAAGUCAGAUGUGAAAUCCACGGGCGCAACCCGUGAACUUCAUUUGAAACUGUUGCCCUUGAGUGUCGGAGAGGUAAUCGGAAUUCGUUGUGUAGCGGUGAAAUGCGUAGAGAUAAGGAAGAACACCAGUGGCGAAGGCGGAUUACUGGACGAUAACUGACGGUGAGGCGCGAAAGCGUGGGGAUCAAACAGGAUUAGAUACCCUUGUAGUC